rnacentral:rRNA from 1 species
CUACGGGAUGCUGCAGUGGGGAAUAUUGGACAAUGGGGGAAACCCUGAUCCAGCAAUGCCGCGUGUGUGAAGAAGGCCUGCGGGUUGUAAAGCACUUUCGGUUGGGAGGACUGCUUCUAGCACUAAUAUUGUUGGAAGUUGACGUUACCUUCAGAAGAAGCACCGGCUAACUCCGUGCCAGCAGCCGCGGUAAUACGGGGGGUGCAAGCGUUAAUCGGAAUUACUGGGCGUAAAGCGCGCGUAGGCGGCUAGAUCAGUCGGGUGUGAAAGCCCCGGGCUUAACCUGGGAACUGCAUCCGAUACUGUCUAGCUUGAGUACAGGAGAGGAGAGUGGAAUUCCACAUGUAGCGGUGAAAUGCGUAGAUAUGUGGAGGAACACCAAUGGCGAAGGCAGCUCUCUGGCCUGAUACUGACGCUGAGGUGCGAAAGCGUGGGGAGCAAACAGGAUUAGAUACCCUUGUAGUC